rfam:Picea glauca, whole genome shotgun sequence.
CAAAUGGUGUUCCUAAACACCACCCUGUUUCACAAUAAAUGCUAA